UACGUAGGUGGCAAGCGUUGUCCGGAUUUAUUGGGCGUAAAGCGAGCGCAGGCGGUUCCUUAAGUCUGAUGUGAAAGCCCACGGCUCAACCGUGGAAGGUCAUUGGAAACUGGGGAACUUGAGUGCAGAAGAGGAGAGUGGAAUUCCAUGUGUAGCGGUGAAAUGCGUAGAUAUAUGGAGGAACACCAGUGGCGAAGGCGACUCUCUGGUCUGUAACUGACGCUGAGGCUCGAAAGCGUGGGGGAGCAAACAGGAUUAGAUACCCCCGUAGU
rnacentral:rRNA from 1 species